UAAAGACCCCACGCCUGGUAAUGUUGCAUAUGGUACCAGUAUUUCCUCUGCACCAAUGGGGCUGUUAUCAUCCUGCACUGAUUUCUCAGUUAGAGCCACUGGAAACCCAUACCACCAGGAACUUGAAAACGCGGGAGCAGUUUCAUUGCAGUGAGGAGCCAUGUAGUAAAGAAUGCAAGAAGAUUCCAGCAAACACCUUCUCAUGGGAUGCCCAAGACAAGCACCGCCAUGGAGAAGAUUAACUGGCAGUCAUUCAAACUAAUUAUUUCUUGGGUUCCUGGAAUCUGGAACCAGAGCGAUGGUUGGAAUGUGAAGAGCUUCUUUUAUACAGCUGAGCCCGAUAGCUGGAGGAGUCUAGACGUAUAUCAGAAGAAAGGAAAAAUUAAUAGGAAAUGACUAGAUUUUACACCCGAUCGUUUGGAACAUUCCAAAACCAAGAGAAGCCUUUCUUGUCACACGUGAUUUCAUGAUAAUUAGGGCCAGCUGUGUCUGGGCAAUUCAGGUCAAGCCAGAUGCCAAACCCAACUCAAACACUUACAGGAAGAUCCUCAUCGUCAAGAACCUCCAAACAUCCUGUAGAAAAUCGAAAGAAGGUAAUGUGGCUGCUGAUACAUGGUGCAUACAUGGAAGAAUCCUUAAAGGGGGAGGGGCAUCAUUAGCAACUUUUCCAUUCUGCUGGGAUUAGUUCUUGGAUUGUCGCCCUUACCCAUAAGCCAGACUAACUCACCCGUAAGUCACAUUAUUUGUGAGCCAAUAAAGAUGACCUGUCCCAGCGUCUCUCUGAACCAGGGAUGGUUUGGAAGGAGGGAGACUUUCACUAUAUGCUGUGCUGUAACUUUCGACUUUAAAUAAAAAUGUGUAUGAGAAUGUCCUAUUCAAAGAAGUAAAUGUGAUUAAAGAAAAAAAAAUUUUUUUUCCAGUGGAAGGAUAUAUCGAUUUGCUAACUGGCUCACCUUAGCUGUAAAAGUUCUAGUUGACACAAACCCUACUUUAGAAACUGGAGACUUCUUUUCCUCCAGGUCAUUUCAAUUGUAUUCUUUCUUUUGAAUUGUGGAUUUCUGAAAGCAUUUUAGGUUGCAG